UUGUGAAUGAUCGUCUGUAUGUUUCUGAUGUAUGCUUCAUCAGAUGGACAGCAGCUGUCCACCACAAGCUCAUCAGCUCAAAGGAAAAAGAAGACUGUCACAACACAAAGACAAGAUGAUGAUGACUCCGCAGGAUGGUCACUUGGGAAGAGACAAUGUCAAACUUGAAGAGCAAGACAUGCAGAUGAUGGUAAUGCUGAUGAGGAUGACGGGAGUGAUGACAUCAGUCAAGGCAUUGAAGACACAGAUGGACUGGUGCACCAGGAGAUAGGUGGAGGACAAAUGGAGAGAACUGCAGAAAAACAUGAUGAUGAUGGACAGGAGCCACACUCAACUUCAGGAAGCUCAUCUGCUGAUAAACCAAAGAGGAUUACAACAUCUAGACUGAAUGAUGUUGGUGAUGAUGAAGAUAGCGGUGACUCUGAGCAUGAUGCUCCAGAAAGGGUAGUGAAGAACCGAGGUAAGAGACCCUGGAAUGACCAGGAGAGGACGGCAGUCAAACGACGCCUUGCCAAGUCAAUCGCCCUUAAAAUGGUUCCAGGAAAGCAGGACUGCCUGAUGUGCAUUGCCAAAGAGUCUCCAGUCCUAAGUGCGCAGAAGUGGAAAGACGUGAAGUAUUUUGUAUACAACGAAAUUCUUAAAGUUAAAAGAAAGCUUGCAUUAUGAAUGAAUUGACUGAGUUUCCUCCCUCUGUUGUAUUUCCGUGUUUUAAAGGGUGAAUUGUCUGUUAGUUUGUUCAUUUGUUAGCACUCUAACAACUUGAACAAUAAUAAUAAAUGCUGGUUUAUUUAUUAUGUCUGCCA
ensembl:lncRNA